AGGCUUUAAGUUAAUUAAACUAAUAGCCUUCAAAGCUGUAAAUAUGGGGUAUUCCUUUAAGCCUUA
rnacentral:tRNA from 1 species